rnacentral:rRNA from 1 species
UGUGUAGGCGGAUACUUAAGUCGGGGGUGAAAUCCCAGGGCUCAACCCUGGAAUUGCCUUCGAUACUGGGUAUCUUGAGUUCGGAAGAGGUAAGUGGAACUCCGAGUGUAGAGGUGAAAUUCGUAGAUAUUCGGAAGAACACCAGUGGCGAAGGCGACUUACUGGUCCGAUACUGACGCUGAAACACGAAAGCGUGGGGAGCAAACAAG